UCCGUAGGCGGCCGUGUGUGUCGGGUGUGAAAUCCUGCAGCUUAACUGCAGAACUGCGCCCGAAACUACACGGCUAGAGUAUUGGAGAGGUGAGUGGAAUUCCUGGUGUAGCGGUGAAAUGCGUAGAUAUCAGGAGGAACACCAACGGCGAAGGCAGCUCACUGGACAAUUACUGACGCUGAGGGACGAAAGCGUGGGGAGCGAAAG
rnacentral:rRNA from 1 species